rnacentral:rRNA from 1 species
AUUGAAAGCUGGCGGCAGGCUUAACACAUGCAAGUCGAGCGGGGGAAGGUAGCUUGCUACCGGACCUAGCGGCGGACGGGUGAGUAAUGCUUAGGAAUCUGCCUAUUAGUGGGGGACAACAUCUCGAAAGGGAUGCUAAUACCGCAUACGUCCUACGGGAGAAAGCAGGGGAUCUUCGGACCUUGCGCUAAUAGAUGAGCCUAAGUCGGAUUAGCUAGUUGGUGGGGUAAAGGCCUACCAAGGCGACGAUCUGUAGCGGGUCUGAGAGGCUGAUCCGCCACACUGGGACUGAGACACGGCCCAGACUCCUAUUGGAGGCAGCAGUGGGGAAUAUUGGACAAUGGGGAGAACCCUGAUCUAGCCAUUCCGCGUGUGUGAAGAAGGCCUUAUGGUUGUAAAGCACUUUAAGCGAGGAGGAGGCUACUUUAGUUAAUACCUAGAGAUAGUGGACGUUACUCGCAGAAUAAGCACCGGCUAACUCUGUGCCAGCCGCCGCGGUAA